AUUGAACGCUGGCGGCAUGCCUUACACAUGCAAGUCGAACGGUAACGGGCCUUCGGGUGCCGACGAGUGGCGAACGGGUGAGUAAUACAUCGGAACUUCCCCGACCGGGGGGGAAAACGGGGCGAAAGCUUGGCUAAAACCCCAUACGACUUCGGGUUGAAGCAAGGGACCGCAAGGCCCUGCGCGGACGGAGCGGCCGAUGGCAGAUUAGGUAGUUGGUGGGAUAAAAGCUUACCAAGCCGACGAUCUGUAGCUGGUCUGAGAGGAUGAUCAGCCACACUGGGACUGAGACACGGCCCAGACUCCUACGGGAGGCAGCAGUGGGGAAUUUUGGACAAUGGGCGCAAGCCUGAUCCAGCCAUGCCGCGUGCAGGAUGAAGGCCUUCGGGUUGUAAACUGCUUUUGUACGGAACGAAAAGCCUUCUUUUAAUACAGGAGGGUCAUGACGGUACCGUAAGAAUAAGCACCGGCUAACUACGUG
rnacentral:rRNA from 1 species